UGGGGAAUAUUGGGCAAUGGAGGAAACUCUGACCCAGCAACGCCGCGUGAAUGAUGAAGGUCUUCGGAUUGUAAAGUUCUUUUCUAAGGGACGAAGAAAGUGACGGUACCUUAGGAAUAAGCCUCGGCUAACUACGUGCCAGCAGCCGCGGUAAUACGUAGGAGGCAAGCGUUAUCCGGAAUGACUGGGCGUAAAGGGUGCGUAGGUGGUUCAGCAAGUUGGCAGCGUAACUCCGGGGCUCAACCUCGGCACUACUGCCAAAACUGUCGAACUUGAGUGCAGGAGGGGCAAUCGGAAUUCCUAGUGUAGCGGUGGAAUGCGUAGAUAUUAGGAGGAACACCAGUGGCGAAGGCGGAUUGCUGGACUGUAACUGACACUGAGGCACGAAAGCGUGGGGAGCAAACA
rnacentral:rRNA from 1 species